rnacentral:rRNA from 1 species
CCGUCUUGAAACACGGACCAAGGAGUCUAGCAUGUGCGCGAGUCAUUGGGAACACUGAUAAACCCAGAGGCGAAAUGAAAGUGAAAGGCCGGCCUCGAGCCGGUCGCAGGGAAGAUGCGCGGGCGUCGUCAGACGCCCCGCCGCAUUCCCGAGGCGUUUCGAGAAAGCCCCCGUGCGAUUAUCGAGACGCACUGAGAGCGUACACGCUGGGACCCGAAAGAUGGUGAACUAUGCCUGGUCAGGUCGAAGUCAGGGGAAACCCUGAUGGAGGACCGAAGCGAUUCUGACGUGCAAAUCGAUCGUCCGAACUGGGUAUAGGGGCGAAAGACUAAUCGAACUAUCUAAU